CCUGUUGCACAAAAGUAGAAUUAAGACAUCCAGGCUAAAUGACUGAGCUGAGCUCAAUGAAGCCAAAACAAGUGCGUCCAGGCUUAAUUGGUUGCACAAAGACCAAGCCAGGAUGAUCAGACACGGAUUCAUCAAGCCAGGUGAAACCAAUCCUGGAUAGGUGCGCGCUCACGGAUCACUCAACUAGACCCCGCCACCGAUCACAGAUUCACCGAUUCACCAUGGCAACUAGCGGCGUUCUUUUCCCCGUCACAGGCGCAAAUCCAUACGAGGAGGUAAAAGACAUAAUUAAGAAGAAAGGCAACACCGCCACAGUGAUAAAGCAAAGAGAAAAAGCGUGGCAAAGUAUUGCAGACUGCCUGAAUGCGUAAGUAGUGCACAAUUACACACUCACCGCUCCGCUGAAACAUCAUAAUUACAAUUAAAAUAUUUAAUUCACAUCUCCAAAAACACAAUUGUACUCUGAUUAUGAAACAGUUAAUUUUUUUAUUGAAAUGGACUGCAAAUAUGAGUGAAAUUGUGUAAAGUAACUCCAUCACACUGGAUAAGGUUUCAAUAAAUUAUUAUGAAAGCUUACAUUAUUACUACGCUCAUUAUGUACUCUGCUUCUUAUGUUGUCCACCGUUGACUUUUUUCUGCUUUUAUUAAUGUAAAGCUGUUUGAAACAAUUGUGAAAAGCGCUUUAUAAAAAUAAAGAAAAAUUUAAUUGAAUAAAUAGAUGAGCUAUUAAUAAUAAUCAAUUUAAUUUAUAAAGCGCCUUUCAAAGGACCCAAGGUCACUUGCUCAUUGCACUGCAAAAAAAAUGACUUUCUUCGUGUGUUUGUCUUGCUUUCAGUUAAAAUAUCAAAAAAUUCUUAAAUUAAGAUGUAUUAAAAGUUUUCUUGAAAUAUAGUUUUUCAUAAACACUUAAUUUAAAACAAAUGUUCAUAUUCCAUUGGCUAAUUUCCUUAUUUUCCUAGGUCAUGUUGCUCAUCAAGAAAAUGCAUCUUAAUUUAAGGUUUUUUUUUUAUAUUUUUACUGAAAACAAGACAAAAAUACAAAGUAAGUCAUUUUUUGCAGUGUGACUCCAUUGAAUGUUCUUGUGUGAUAAAGAAAGUCUCUCUUUUUGUGUGUGGUGUGUGUGUGAUGUAGAUUAAAUAUGACAGGUCAAAAUCAAAUACAAGAACAUUCUGCAGAAUGCAGUGAAAAGAAUACCCAGAGACAAGGCACGGGUGGUGGGUCACCAAAAGCUCACCUCACCCCAGCAGAGGCCAGCUUUGGAGCUAAAUAAAGGCAGGCCUGUUGGAGGGGAUCCCUGGGGGAAAAGAGACAAGCAUAGGUCCCUCCCAAGAUGCCACCCGCUUCAUACAAGUGUCUGGCAGCACUGUGUUACUGUUAAAUCCACCAGCACGAGCACCAGACGAUGCUGAUCCAGUGAGUACUCCAUCAAAGGCAUACUAUAGGCCUGGUACGUCUUGUCUACUAGCUUCAAUAUGAAUCCGAUUAAAUGUGAUAGGGUCAAGGCCCCAUUUCAUCAGCACAUAACGGCGAUGAUGAUGAGGAGACCAUCUCUCUGGAUUCCAAAA